GCUGUGGAACUCCUACGGGAGGCAGCAGUGGGGAAUUUUGGACAAUGGGGGCAACCCUGAUCUAGCCAUGCCGCGUGAGUGAUGAAGGCCUUAGGGUUGUAAAGCUCUUUCAGCUGGGAAGAUAAUGACGGUACCAGCAGAAGAAGCCCCGGCUAACUCCGUGCCAGCAGCCGCGGUAAUACGGAGGGGGCUAGCGUUGUUCGGAAUUACUGGGCGUAAAGCGCACGUAGGCGGACCAGAAAGUUGGGGGUGAAAUCCCGGGGCUCAACCUCGGGACUGCUUUCAAAACUAUUGGUCUUGAGUUCGAGAGAGGUGAGUGGAAUUCCGAGUGUAGAGGUGAAAUUCGUAGAUAUUCGGAGGAACACCAGUGGCGAAGGCGGCUCACUGGCUCGAUACUGACGCUGAGGUGCGAAAGCGUGGGGAGCAAACAGGAUUAGAUACCCCUGUAGUCCUACCACGU
rnacentral:rRNA from 1 species